CCACUUAUCUUUAAAAUACACGUGGAUAACAAAUGUUACAAAGAAUUACAUCAAAUGGACCCAAACGGUCCAAGUGAACGGGUCUAGACACAUAGUGCCAAAAUAUGAAAUCAUACGGGGAUGAAGCUCGAAUAUAUCAAUAUUCACUAAGAAAAACGUAUAAAUAAAAAUAAAUAAUUAUUACAAAUCCUAACACUAUCAAACACAAUUGAAAAAAGUGGUGAAACAACACAAAUUAGAGCAAUUCGGAAACUCAAAAUCAAAAAGAAAAAGAGCAAAAAAGAAGCUCUUCUCGACCCUCCAUAGACCAUACUCCAAAUCCAGAAUUUCUCAAAUCUCUGCUACCCAAUGGAAGCUGUCACCGAUCUGUUUCUGGAGGAAAACAAGGAGAACAUCCCUCCUCCUGAUUCUUGUCAGAAACCCAACCCCCGAGUAGCUGAUAACCCGCCGCCGCCGGCGUCCGAUAAAUUCUUCAGACGGCGAAAAAGGAUCCUCUCGCAGUCGACACUACCCACCUCUUGGAAAAUGCUCAAAAGUCUUCUGCUGCCGUCACCUCGGGGAUCGAUGAGCUAUCUCCCUCCUCCAACUCCAUGGAUUCUGGUUCGAUUCCUAAACGGAUUUCUGGCAGAAGGAAGAAAAGACACCAAGACAACAGUUGUAGCAGUGGUGAUGACUUUCGAUUUCAAGCUAUGACUUGUCUUUUUACAUUUCUGUUGUGGUAAUAUCAUAAAUAAUAUUGUAGACGUCCAAAAUAAAAUACAAAGUCCAAUAGAAUGGGCCGGAGGAGCUGAACGCUUGGGCUUAUUUAAAUGAGAAACUUGGCCAGGAUUAACCCA
rnacentral:lncRNA from 1 species